GACGGGUUUCUCCAUGUUGGUCAGGCUGGUCUCGAACUCUCGACCUCAGGUGAUCCACCUGCCUUGGCCUCCCAAAGUGCUGGGAUUACAGGCAUGAACCACUGUGCCAGACCCGAAUCAUCGUUUCUGCACAUGGAGAAAACCACGUGGAGAAAACCGGCAGGAGAAGAGCAUGGGGCAGGGUCUGUAGGAAAUGCUCAGAGAGCUUCCUGGAGGCAGGGCUGGGGAAGGCACAGGGGAGCCCGGCUUCUGCGGACGUUUCCUCCCAGGAUGAGGGAGGCAGGGCUGCUGGAAGACUCACCUUUCCUCUCACUGCACUGCCAUUUGUCCCAACUCAUUUCCGUUCUAUGUUGAUUGGUUCAGAAAACAUCCUAUUUGGCAAAUCCUAAAUAGUCUCACUUUCUGUCAUGGUCGUGGAAUCUCUCCGUCUCGACAAUGGAACCGAAUUGUAAAGCGACUCUAGCUCUGAAUUCCUACCUCUUGCCUUUUGUUUUUUUCCUAGAAAAAGGAAAUGGAAAUCCUUCCUGUUAUUCUCCGCGUCCCUUCGUAGAAGGCUGCCUGAGAGGUCAGCACAGGAGUCCUCUAAGUGCCCUGCAGAGAACACGGGUCUCGGAGCCGGACAAACCUAAAUUUUGAAACCCACUUUGAGUUUGAACUUGGCUGUGGGAAAGUUACACAAUCGCUCUAAGCCUCUGUUUUCUCAUCAGUAAAACAGAGAGGGGUUGCUUGUGUGAGAAGUGGCCGCUGCCAAUCAUCUGCGUGUCCUUCACUCUCCCAGGGGCCAUGGAAAGGAUGGUUUCCUUGAAGUCUAGAAAAUUUUGUUCCAGUCCAUUUCAACGGUGCAGGAGAAACGUGGCUUCCAUUCCGAGGAAGACGGCGACACCUAGUGACCGUUCCCUCGCGGUGCGAUGGCCUCACACCUGUGCGGCGGGUCGUCCGGGGCGUAGGGUGCUGCGGCCUUGCGGUCUUCCCUGCGCUGCAAGGCAGGGCAUGGUGGCAGAUUAACACCUGGAUGAACACGGGCAGGUCAGGAGACAAAUAAAACCCAGAGGUCUUUGAAACUUCAAAAUCCCGUAGGGUGUGUGACCCCAGUGAGCCCCACGCUACAUCCAGCGAGAACCGAGAAGUGAUGGUGCAGACAUUCUUGGGUCCCCCAGACAGAACACACCGGGAGUUACUGCCUCUUUCUCAUCCCGAGUCCUCCUGACUUUCCCCAGCACCCAUCGUGGCUGCAGCCAGGACACAGGUAAAUGUAAUUUCCCUCCCCUUCCAUCCUCGCUUUCACAUCGGUGUGAUUGACUGAGGGCCUGCAGACUCUCUCCACGUGCGGGUGCCCUGCAGCCUGACACACAAAUGCGUUCAUCCUUCCCCUUUAUCCUGACCCCGAACUAAUGACGCAGCUUCCUGAGACACAGAGGAUGCUUCUCCUCGUCCCCCCUCGCGCUCUGAAGUGGGAAAAGAUGUGUUCCAUCUGUUCUGGAAUUUUCACUGUAAAGAAGAGAAUGAAUUUUAACUGUGUUUUUGACAUAUCCCUAAACAAGAAGUGGUUUAUAGAGUGAAACCAUUUUCCCUUCAUCUAAAAUUUAAAAAAAAAAAAAAAGAGAGAGAAAAGUGCAAGACUGAAGAUGUGUGUUGAGCGGGGUGAGGAAGCGUGGGGGACUCGGCGCUGGAGGAGCCCCGGGUGUGUUUAGGGUUUGUGGUCAGGGGCCCUGGGCACCAGGUCCAGUCUGAAGCACCCGGGGGGAUGGACGAUGUUUGUGUAAGAGAGGGACAAAGGGAUGGCAGGGUGGCCAAGCAGAGACGCGAUUCCCUCUGUGCCCUUCCUGGACCAGCUUUGUAUUCUAACAGCAACGUCUCUGUUCUUGGGAAGAGCUCCUCGGUGAUUACCUGCCCGCCCCUUGUCUCCUCUUAUUCCCGCUGCCACAGGGCAGGGCCGCCCAGCUCCAGCUCAGACACACACCUGCUCCAACUGCUGUGCUGGUCACAGGCCCAGAGCACCACGUGUCCUCUGGGGUCUGUGUGGUCGGCGCCGUGCGUGGGACCACUGUGAGUGACCCUCCUCUUGUGUCACAGAGCCACUGUACCCGUGUGCACCUGUGCUCUGAGACCUGGAUACCCCUGGAAGGACAGACACCGAGGACCCGAGUGCACUGGAGUCCCGCUCCCACAGAUCCUGCUGCUGGGAGAACUGUCAGCCAGGAACGGGACUGCGGUGGGGAAUUCCUUCUGUCAACACACUUUCUAAUCUAAGCUCCAGACUCCACUUCCAGACUAGCACAGGCUUUUUCCCCCACAUCUCCUUCUCUGCAGCCGGGGCUCCUGCCGGGUCUGCGGAGCCCAGAGCCAUGCUCUCUGCCGACUCCAUCUCCAGAUGCCUGCCCCGGCACCCACGCUGUUGCCAGGACACCAGUGAACCCAGACAGGGAGCUGGGAGAUGGGAACAUCACUAGACCACGAGCCGGAAUUGCUGCAGGAGGAUUCCCACACUCUGGGCCUCCGUGGGCACCACGAGGACUGGACGUGCGACCCCAGCUCUCUGGGUCUCAGUUUCGUCUCCUGCAGAGCAUCUGAGCUAGACCGUCUCUAAAAUUUCAUCAAGCUCCUGUAUUCCAUUCUAUUCUGAGAUGCCCAAUUCUUAUGCCUGCUAAAAACCACAGUGAGAAAUAAUAACCUAUGUCCACAUUUUUGUUUCCUAGGAGAAAUAUCAACAUGCGUCUGCCAAAUAAAAUAUUGUAUUAAAUGAGUUAUUUCAAAAAGUAUUCUUUGACCACCUCAACAUGUGUUAAAAGGAAUGCCACAUGUUAAAAGGAAUGCCUCAUGUUACACGGAGUCCUUCUAGGGU
rnacentral:lncRNA from 10 species